UAGGGAAUCUUCCACAAUGGGCGAAAGCCUGAUGGAGCAACGCAGCGUGUGUGAUGAAGGGUUUCGGCUCGUAAAACACUGUUGUAAGAGAAGAAUGACAUUGAGAGUAACUGUUCAAUGUGUGACGGUAUCUUACCAGAAAGGAACGGCUAAAUACGUGCCAG
rnacentral:rRNA from 1 species